GGGUACAAGGGACAAUAGACACAAAGAAAGUAUGCUUCCAGCAUGAAGUGUCUGAAUGUGUUAAAAGAAAGUGGAAAAGUGUCCUAAGGUGUAAAUUUUCAAAGAAAUACUGGAAUUCCAAUCAAAUCUCUGAAGGAGUCUUAUGAUCUUAUCUCCAUAAACCUCUCUAAGAAUAAAUAAAAUCUUAGCCUAAACAGUGGGUGUAAAUAUAGAAUAAAUA
rnacentral:lncRNA from 1 species